rnacentral:rRNA from 1 species
GGUUUCUUGAUAUUAUUGGAAAUUUGACCUGCCCACUGAAAAUUGAAGGGCCGCAGUAUUUUGACUGUGCAAAGGUAGCAUAAUCAUUAGUCUUUUAAUUGAGGGCUGGAAUGAAUGGUUGGACGAGGCUUAUACUGUCUUGUAUUAAGAAGUAGAAUUUAUAUUUUGAGUAAAAAUACUUAAAUGUAAUUAAGGGACGAGAAGACCCUAUAGAGUUUAAUAAGUAAUAAAUUUAAUUUAGUUAUUAUGAAAUUUAUAAUUAUUAUUUAACUUAUUUGAUUGGGGUGAUUAAAAGAUAAAAGAAACUCUUUUUGAUAUUAAAUAUUAAUUUGUAGUAAUUUGAUCCAUUAUGUAAUGAGAAUAAGAAAAAAUUACCUUAGGGAUAACAGCAUAAUUUUUUUUGAGAGUUCUUAUUGAGAAAAAAGCUUAUGACCUCGAUGUUGGAUUAAGAUAAAUUUUGGAUGAAGUAGUUCAAAUAUUAGGUCUGUUCGACCUUUAAAUUCUUACA